rnacentral:rRNA from 1 species
AUGAAGCGGCGCACGGUGAUCGCCGCGGCCAUCGUGGCCCUGCUCCUGGCGGCCUGCACCGCGGCGGCGGCGGCGGCCGCGCUGACCAUCUCCCGGAAGAACCAGCACCGGCCGGCGUCGGAGUCCUCCGGCGGCGCGUGCGACAUGUUCGCCGGGGCCUGGGUGGCGGACGACUCGUACCCGCUCUACGACUCGGCCAGCUGCCCCUUCGUCCGCGGCGAGUUCGACUGCGCCCGGUUCGGCCGCCCCGAUAAGCAGUACCUCAAGUACCGCUGGCUGCCCAGCCCGCCCUGCUCCCCGCCCAGGUUCGACGGGCUGGCGCUGCUGCGGAUGUGGGGCGGCAAGAAGGUGAUGUUCGUGGGCGACUCGCUGGCGCUGAACCAGUACGAGUCGCUGCUGUGCAUGAUCUACGCCGCGGCGCCCAAUGCCCGGGCCACCGUCUCGCCGCGCUCCGGCAGGAUCGACCCGGCGACCACCGUCACGUUCGAUGAGUACAAUGUGACGCUGGUGUACUACCUGUCGCACUACCUGGUGGACAUCGUGAGCGAGAAGGCCGGCCGCGUACUCAAGCUCGACAAGAUCGACGAAGGCCGCAACUGGCUCGGCGCCGACGUGCUCGUCUUCGACUCCUGGCACUGGUGGCCGCGCUCCGGCAAGGACCAACCCUGGGACUAUAUCCAGGAGGGCAGCCAAGUGGCCAAGGACAUGGACCGGACGGUGGCCUUCACCAAGGCGCUCAACACCUGGGCCGGAUGGGUGGACGCCAACCUCGUCCAGACCAGCGCCAAGGUCUUCUUCCAGGGCAUCUCCCCCUCUCACUACAGGGGGCAGGAAUGGGGCUCGUCGCCGAGGAGGUCGUGCGCGGGGGAGACGGAGCCGCUGAACAGCACGGGGCCGUACCCCGCCGGGCCGAUCCCGCAGCAGGCGGUCAUCAGGAGCGCCCUUGCCCGCAUGGCCAAGCCGGUGUACCUGCUGGACUUCACCUUCCUGUCGCAGCUGAGGAAGGACGCGCACCCGGGCAAGUACGGCGGCAUGUUCGGCCAGGACUGCACCCACUGGUGCAUCGCCGGCCUGACCGACACCUGGAACAUCCUCUUCUACGCCGCGCUCACCGGCCAAGAUGGCUGA